rnacentral:lncRNA from 1 species
ACCCACCCCAAAAGGGAGGGUGACUGCAGAGGGCGCAAGGCAAAAAGGAAACCGUCCUCCCGAAGAACCAGUGAAGAAGAACAAAAUAAACAGUGGGAAGACAAGAUCAUCAAACCACUAAUGGAGAAGAAACGAAGGAACCGAAUUGCUCAUUCUCUCAAUCAGCUAAAGGCUCUAUUGCUAGAUGGGUCCAAUCCAGGCAACAAGGCUCUUUCUAAUUCUCGCAUGGACAAGGCAGCUCUUUUGGAAAUGACUGUAAAGCGGAUCCAAACGUUGCAGUUAGCAGCGGCCUUCAUCUCAGACAGACAGCAGUAUCAGGAGACUCCGAAUCAACUGGCCUCUGCAUCCAGCUCCAUUUGUGAGACCACCACCCUGGCAAUCCCUCUGCCAGCACCUAACCUGGGAAGUAUUUCCAUCUGGAGUGGGAAACACCUGACUUCUGCCACCCUUCACUGUUCUGGAAGGUCUGUUCCUUCUGUGGUCCUCAGCAAAACAGGGUCUCAGGUGUUCUGGAGACCUUGGUCUACAUGAAUGUCUUCUUAUUCAUGCAUGGGUAUGUGAAAAGAACCUUGCCUGUACUGGAGCCUCUAAUUUAUUUCUCAGUGGAUAAAUGUUUUCAGGAAAUCCGUUCCUGCCUAUGGUGGGAUGUAUUUAGCCUCUUGUUCUUGCUGUGUCUCUUGUCUUAACCUCCACAUGCAAGCUGAUUUUCUUCAGAUACUGCUGUUUCAUACUGUGCUUAGUAUUGCUCAUGUAUUUUAAAUAAAAAUAUUUACAGAAAAACA